UACGUAGGGGGCUAGCGUUAUCCGGAAUUACUGGGCGUAAAGGGUGCGUAGGUGGUUUCUUAAGUCAGAGGUGAAAGGCUACGGCUCAACCGUAGUAAGCCUUUGAAACUGGGGAACUUGAGUGCAGGAGAGGAGAGUGGAAUUCCUAGUGUAGCGGUGAAAUGCGUAGAUAUUAGGAGGAACACCAGUUGCGAAAGCGGCUCUCUGGCCUGUAACUGACACUGAGGCUCGAAAGCGUGGGGAGCAAACAGG
rnacentral:rRNA from 1 species